UACGUAGGGGGCUAGCGUUGCUCGGAAUCACUGGGCGUAAAGCGCACGUAGGCGGAUUGUUAAGUCAGGGGUGAAAUCCUGGAGCUCAACUCCAGAACUGCCUUUGAUACUGGCGAUCUCGAGUCCGGGAGAGGUGAGUGGAACUGCGAGUGUAGAGGUGAAAUUCGUAGAUAUUCGCAAGAACACCAGUGGCGAAGGCGGCUCACUGGCCCGGUACUGACGCUGAGGUGCGAAAGCGUGGGGAGCAACAGGG
rnacentral:rRNA from 1 species